rnacentral:rRNA from 1 species
UACGAAGGGGGCUAGCGUUGUUCGGAAUUACUGGGCGUAAAGCGUGCGCAGGCGGUCUUGCAAGACAGGUGUGAAAUCCCCGGGCUUAACCUGGGAACUGCGACUUGUGACUGCAAGGCUGGAGUACGGCAGAGGGGGAUGGGAAUUCCGCGGUGUAGCAAGUUGAAAUGCGUAGAUAAUCUGGAGGAACACCGGUGGCGAAGGCGGCGAUCCU